rnacentral:rRNA from 1 species
UACAGAGGUCCCAAGCGUUGUUCGGAUUCACUGGGCGUAAAGGGUGCGUAGGUUGUGAGGUAAGUCGGAUGUGAAAUCUCCGGGCUCAACCCGGAAAUGGCAUUGGAAACUACCUUGCUGGAGGAUUUGAGGGGGGAUUGGAAUACUUGGUGUAGCAGUGAAAUGCGUAGAUAUCAAGUGGAACACCAGUGGCGAAGGCGAAUCCCUGGAAAAUACCUGACACUGAGGCACGAAAGCUAGGGGAGCAAACAGG